CGGCAACGGAUAUCUCGGCUCUCGCAUCGAUGAAGAACGAAGCGAAAUGCGAUACUUGGUGUGAAUUGCAGAAUCCCGUGAACCAUCGAGUCUUUGAACGCAAGUUGCGCCCGAAGCCAUCAGGCCGAGGGCACGCCUGCCUGGGCGUCACACGCCGUUGCCCCC
rnacentral:rRNA from 1 species